ACGCUCGACACCUACGGGGGCAGCAGUGGGGAAUAUUGCACAAUGGAGGAAACUCUGAUGCAGCGACGCCGCGUGAGCGAAGAAGUAUUUCGGUAUGUAAAGCUCUAUCAGCAGGGAAGAAAAAGGACGGUACCUGACUAAGAAGCUCCGGCUAAAUACGNGCCAGCAGCCGCGGUAAUCUGAGCGGGCUGGCAAGGC
rnacentral:rRNA from 1 species